rnacentral:rRNA from 1 species
AGCAGCCGCGGUAAUUCCAGCUCCAAUAGCGUAUAUUAAAGUUGUUGCAGUUAAAAAGCUCGUAGUUGAAUUUCGGGAUCAAUAUGUCGGUCAUGCCUCGGUACGCACUGGCUUAUUGGUUUCUCCCUUCUGACGAACCAUGAUGUCAUUAAUUUGGUGUCUUGGGAAAUCAGGACUGUUACUUUGAAAAAUUAGAGUGUUUAAAGCAGGCUCACGCUUGAAUACAUUAGCAUGGAAUAAUGAAAUAGGACGUUUGAUUCUAUUUUGUUGGUUUCUAGGAUCGACGUAAUGAUUAAUAGGGAUAGUUGGGGGCAUUAGUAUUCAAUUGUCAGAGGUGAAAUUCUUGGAUUUAUUGAAGACUAACUACUGCGAAAGUAUUUGCCAAGGAUGUUUUCAUUAAUCAAGA